AUUCUCCCUCCCGCUUCCCCCAGCCGCGGCCUAGUGUCCCAGCGGGGUUGGGAGAGGCAUGUGAGGGCGAAGUUGCCCCCUGUUGAGAACCAUUGCUGCGCGUAGUCCUUCUCUCUGAACUUGUGCAGAGGACUCUCCAGGUGAAGGCUCAAGGGUGGAUCCAGCUCGAGACACCCUCGCUCCCCCUCACAGUCGGACCUUAGGAUUUAGGCUUUAACAUCUCCACAUCAUGAGAUUCGAAACCUUUAGGUCUUGUCUUCCGUUCUGUCCUCCAAAUCGGCCUCUUCCGAGCCUGUUGACCAGGGCCAGCCGGGCAGAGGGCUGGGCUCGCUCAACGAGGCUCCUCUCGCACCUCCUGGAGCUUCAGGCUUCUUUCCGUUGCAGAGAAGCUUUAUGGGCCAAUUCGUUCGGCAUCCCCGGGGGCAGGUGCGCGGUGCGCGGGGAAGAAGAGGAUUUGACUGCGGUUCUCCACCCCCGGCGCCCAACCUCCACCCCGGUGCGCGCGCUCUUCCAGGCUCCUGCUGGUCCCACUUGCCAGGAGUUAGGUCUCAGGUCAGCCUGAGCUCCUGAGACGCCCAGGCCCGGAAAGACACGUAGGGGAAACCAUCUGCUCACUUCUGUCCUGUCCGGAAGGGAUCCCUUUCUGACGGGAAAGAAAGGCGGUGAGUCCUGUCCUGUUGAGUAGGCGGAAGAGAGAUCAAAGGGAAGACAAGAAAAAUCCUGUGAGUUUUCAGGAUCUAAAGUUACCAUGAGGUCGACCUAACCUCCUCUGGAGGUCCUCCCGGUCCUCCCGUGGCUGUCGAAGCUAAACAAGCACUGGCCUUGAGAUAAGCAAUGCUGAAGCACUUGCAGCUCACCUAUUACCAUAAACUGACUGAGCCCUCCCUACACAAGCCGUAACUACUGCUUUGAUUGGACAAGAGACUGAUUUCAGUAGUUUUCUCUUGAUAAGAGACCACUGGCCGUGGGCGGGUUCUGGACAGUUUACAGAAGCUAUGCACUUGAUUGCCUUUGUGUCCCUGCUUCACCUUUUGAAGCAUAGGGCCUAAUUAUAAUGUAUUUAAAUGUUGUCUCCACCCCAAAGUGAACAUGGGUUGCAUGUAACAGGCAUGUUUACUCAGCAUGCAUGCAGCAGGAUCCCUUCACAAAUAUUCAGAGCUCCCCCUAUUCCCUGUUGAAUAUGUAUAUGUGGCCAGCCAGAUCAACGUAAAUCACUAUUCGCCCUCCCCUCCCUGGAAACCUACUUUUCGGGUUUCAGCAGGAAGCUAUGCCUCCCAGUCUGUCAGAAUGGCCACUUGCAGGCUGUAACCCUUUAUAAAAAAAUAAAAUCUCCUUUCUAAAUUU